ACACUCCUGCGGGAGGCAGCAGUGGGGAAUAUUGGACAAUGGGCGCAAGCCUGAUCCAGCCAUGCCGCGUGAGUGAUGAAGGCCCUAGGGGUGUAAAGCUCUUUCACCGGUGAAGAUAAUGACGGUAACCGGAGAAGAAGCCCCGGCUAACUUCGUGCCAGCAGCCGCGGUAAUACGAAGGGGGCUAGAGUUGUUCGGAUUUACUGGGCGUAAAGCGCACGUAGGCGGACUAUUAAGUCAGGGGUGAAAUCCCGGGGCUCAACCCCGGAACUGCCUUUGAUACUGGUAGGCUUGAGUUCGAGAGAGGUGAGUGGAAUUCCGAGUGUAGAGGUGAAAUUCGUAGAUAUUCGGAGGAACACCAGUGGCGAAGGCGGCUCACUGGCUCGAUACUGACGCUGAGGUGCGAAAGCGUGGGGAGCAAACAGGAUUAGAUACCCCUGUAGUCCCAUG
rnacentral:rRNA from 1 species